AAAGUUAUCGGUUGUAUUGUAGAGCUCAGCAUUUAGUUGUGUUGCACUUGUUUAAUAGUGAAGCGACAACAUAUGUUGCACUAUUAUAGUUAAUAAUUGUAAUUAUUAAAAGAUGUGGUGAUUUGUGGGCUACAAGAACAUUUAUUCCGUUGUUAAACCAGUAAAAUCUUCAAGAAUUAACAAGGAUAACUCGAUGUGGUUUGAGAAAUUUAUCGUUGAUCUCUUCCAGAGCGAUGUCCACCGCAGGGCCGCAUCGGACUAGGUCGAAAGGUGAGUCCAGAUGACCCGCCAUCAACACUCCGACGUUAUAUGCCAAUGAUAAUUCGGUAAUGCGGCGGUUUGACGCUGACUUCAUGAAUUGCCAGUGUGUUGGCAGUCAGUUCCGGUAACUUCUCAGUGGAUUUGAUGAAAUGGAAUCCUGUGAAUGGCUUCACAUCAGGAUUAUUCGGCAGUGGGACUAGUUGAGUAUCAAGGUAAGCUGCAGUUAAAUGCAUUACAAUCUAUAAACAUUUAAAAA